rnacentral:lncRNA from 1 species
AUAGGGAGGGGUGCAAUUAAAAUUCAUUAAGACACAACAAGAAACUCUAGUCCAGGCUUGUUGCAGGUAAAAGGGACUUUGCCAAUGAAUUAUUCAAGAAGAAUUGAGCUGAAUGAGGGAAUCCUCUCUUGGGUUGGCAAUGGCUCAGACUUACUACGAACUUUCUCCUCAGGCUAAUCAUGAACUCCUGGCUGCAAGUAAUCCUCCCACCUUGGCCUCCCAAAGUGUUGAAAUUACAGGUGUGAACCACAGCGACCAGCCCAUUACUUCUCAUC